rnacentral:misc_RNA from 1 species
UGGAAUGUGCAUCGCGUUUAACGCAAUAAAAUACAACUUUCAGCAACGGAUCUCUUGGCUCUCGCAUCGAUGAAGAACGCAGCGAAAUGCGAUAAGUAAUGUGAAUUGCAGAAUUCAGUGAAUCAUCGAAUCUUUGAACGCACCUUGCGCCCCUUGGCUAUUCCGAGGGGCAUGCCUGUUUGAGUAUCAUGAACACCUCAACUCUCAUGGUUCGCCGUGAUGAGCUUGGACUUUGGGGGUUUUGCUGGCCUACGGUCAGCUCCUCUCAAACAAAUCAGCCUGCCAGUGUUUGGUGGCAUCACAGGUGUGAUAACUAUCUACGCUUGUGGU